GACGUAGGAUCCGAGCGUUGUCCGGAGUUACUGGGCGUAAAGCGCGCGCAGGCGGACACGCGCAUCGGCGGUGAAAGCCCCCCGCUCAACGGGGGAGGGUCCGUCGAGAUGGCGUGUCUGGAGGCAGGGAGAGGCCAGUGGAAUUCCGGGUGUAGUGGUGAAAUGCGUAGAGAUCCGGAGGAACACCGGUGGCGAAGGCGGCUUCCUGGACCGACACUGACGCUGAGGCGCGAAAGCUAGGGGAGCAAACGGG
rnacentral:rRNA from 1 species